UGGUCAUGGAAAUCCAGUUUCUCAUUUGCUGUGGACAUGACCAUAAAAAAUCUUCCCACAAGGUUUUCUGUAUGUUACUUUGUUAGCAAUCAACAUAUUGGAAACACUA
rnacentral:snoRNA from 1 species